ACGAACGCUGGCGGCGUGCUUAACACAUGCAAGUCGAACGGAAAGGCCCUGCUUUUGUGGGGUGCUCGAGUGGCGAACGGGUGAGUAACACGUGAGUAACCUGCCCUUGACUUUGGGAUAACUUCCGGAAACUGGGGCUAAUACCGGAUAGGAGCUCCUGCUGCAUGGGGGGGGUUGGAAAGUUUCGGCGGUUGGGGAUGGACUCGCGGCUUAUCAGCUUGUUGGUGGGGUAGUGGCUUACCAAGGCUUUGACGGGUAGCCGGCCUGAGAGGGUGACCGGCCACAUUGGGACUGAGAUACGGCCCAGACUCCUACGGGAGGCAGCAGUGGGGAAUAUUGCACAAUGGGCGGAAGCCUGAUGCAGCAACGCCGCGUGCGGGAUGACGGCCUUCGGGUUGUAAACCGCUUUCGCCUGUGACGAAGCGUGAGUGACGGUAAUGGGUAAAGAAGCACCGGCUAACUACGUG
rnacentral:rRNA from 1 species